rnacentral:rRNA from 1 species
GAUGAACGCUGGCGGCGUGCCUAAUACAUGCAAGUCGAGCGAACAGACGAGGAGCUUGCUCCUCUGACGUUAGCGGCGGACGGGUGAGUAACACGUGGAUAACCUACCUAUAAGACUGGGAUAACUUCGGGAAACCGGAGCUAAUACCGGAUAAUAUAUUGAACCGCAUAGUUCAAUAGUGAAAGACGGUUUUGCUGUCACUUAUAGAUGGAUCCGCGCCGCAUUAGCUAGUUGGUAAGGUAACGGCUUACCAAGGCAACGAUGCGUAGCCGACCUGAGAGGGUGAUCGGCCACACUGGAACUGAGACACGGUCCAGACUCCUACGGGAGGCAGCAGUAGGGAAUCUUCCGCAAUGGGCGAAAGCCUGACGGAGCAACGCCGCGUGAAUGAUGAAGGUCUUCGGAUCGUAAAACUCUGUUAUUAGGGAAGAACAAAUGUGUAAGUAACUAUGCACGUCUUGACGGUACCUAAUCAGAAAGCCACGGCUAACUACGUG